rnacentral:misc_RNA from 1 species
GUGAAUCAUCGAAUUUUUGAACGCAAAUUGCACUCUCCUCUGAUAGGAUGCCUGUUUGAGUUUGAGCCUAUAUAAAAUCGACAUCGUUGCUUUUGCGCUGUGGCUUUGUCCGGAAAUUGGGUCAUCUUAAAUCCUUUUGGUUUUUAAGCGACUUAAAAUUUUCUUUUUGGUUCCAUGUACGUUUCUAAGAUUUCUUUCUUUACACGUUUAAUGUAUCGAUUUUUAUUAGACGUGACCAUCAUAUCGGAUCGCGUCCAUAAUCUUUCAUGAACUGACCUCAGCCAGGGAAGAU